rnacentral:rRNA from 1 species
AUUGAACGCUGGCGGCAGGCCUAACACAUGCAAGUCGAGCGGGGUUUUCGGACCUAGCGGCGGACGGGUGAGUAAUGCGUAGGAAGCUACCCGAUAGAGGGGGAUACCAGUUGGAAACGACUGUUAAUACCGCAUAAUGUCUACGGACCAAAGUGUGGGACCUUCGGGCCACAUGCUAUCGGAUGCGCCUACGUGGGAUUAGCUAGUUGGUGGGGUAAUGGCUCACCAAGGCGACGAUCCCUAGCUGGUUUGAGAGGAUGAUCAGCCACACUGGGACUGAGACACGGCCCAGACUCCUACGGAGGCAGCAGUGGGGAAUAUUGGACAAUGGGCGAAAGCCUGAUCCAGCAAUGCCGCGUGAGUGAUGAAGGCC